GUGCUGAGCCGAGGCAGGUUUGGCCGACGGGCUGCACUGGGAAUCUUCAAUGCUUUGGUUCAAGAUCUGGCAGCCGACAUCUCGAUGCUGAAAUCCACUGUCACACGAUGCCGAACACUGCAAGAUUUGCAAAGUGGUGUUCUGCAAAGCCUCAUCAACAUGAUGCAAGACCAAGAAGAUACAGAUCCAUUCAUAAGGAGCAAAGGAGAUGCCACUGAAUAAAUCCAGCAACUGCCGUUUGCAUUUCCAAUUUACAGUAGGGCAGAAUGCAAAUAGUUGUCAAUCGGAAGAGAGGACUGAAGUCUGAAUGGGUGGCGUUUCGGGUCGAGACCCGUCUUCAGGCUGAGAGUCAGGGGAGGGGGAAACUAGAGUUUACAAAAGAUCCAGAGUCCAAACAGGUUGCAGGAGGUGCCCCAAAUAUUGAACAGCUUGACACAAGGAUGAGCGGAGAAGUUCAGAGAGAUGUCACCAGCCACACAGAGGGUGUGUGAGGCUGGGCUUUUAAGUUCACCCUGGUCACUUCACCAUCCGGGAUGAAGAUUUCAGUCUUCAACUGAGCGAGAUCAUCCACUGAAAACUGGCAGUGAUUCGUGCUAUUGAGGGAGUACAGCGUAGGUUUACAAGGUUAAUUCCUGGGAUGUCGGGACUGUCAUAUGCUGAGAGAAUGGAGCGGCAGGGCUUGUAUACUCUGGAGUUUACAAGGAUGAGAGGUGAUCGUAUUGAAACAUAUAAGAUUAUUAAGGAUUUGGACACGCUAGAGGCAGUGGAAGGCGUCAGUGGAUAGUGUUAAGGCAGAGAUAGAUAGAUUCUUGAUUAGUACGGGUGUCAGAGGUUAUGGUGAGAAGGCAGGAGAAUGGGGGGUGGAUGUGGACAGAAUGUUUCCACUAGUGGGAGAGUCCAGAACCAGAGUGCACAGCCACAGAGUAAAAGGAUGAAUCUCUGGAAAGGAGAUGAGGAGAAAUUUCUUUGGGUGGUGAAUCUGUGGAAUUCAUUGUCACAGACAGCUGUGGAGGCCUAGUCAUUGGGUAUUUUUAAAGUGGAGAUUGAUAAGUUCUUGAUUAGUAAGGGAGUCAAAGGUUAUGGGGAGAAGGCAGAAGAAUGGGGUUGAGAGGGAAAGAUAGAUCAGCCAUGAUCGAAUGGCGGAGCAAACUUGAUGGGCCGAAAUGCCCAAUUCUGCUCCAAUGCCUUAAGAUCUUAAGAUAAUCUUCAUGCCAUUUUUCUUCUUACCACACAUACAAAACUCCCAGUGCAAAUUAUCAGACCAUCAACUGAUAUCUCCAUCUAAGAAACAUCAUGCAUUUGUGUAACAUUUUUCACUGGCUACUUUUAUAACCACAAAACGUCUCUGAGUAUUUUUACAGCCCCUUAAAAACUGGUGCCACCAUCAACAUACGGAAAGUACAUUUUUUGCAGAUAUAGAACAAUAAAGACUGGUGUAAACCAGCAUCUGCACUUCCUUCCUCCACAAUAAAGACCUAGUGGACUGUUUUAGAGAUACAGCAUGGAAGCAGACCCUUGGGGCACC